GUGGUUGCUUUGGCAGCACAUAUACUAAAACUGAAACAAUGCAGAAAUUAGCAUGGCCCUUGUACAAGGAUGACAUACAAAUUUUUAGUGUAUCAUUCAUAUUUU
ensembl:snRNA U6 U6 spliceosomal RNA